rnacentral:rRNA from 1 species
GUACACGCUGUGACUAGCAUAUCAAUAAGCGGAGGAAAAGAAACUAACAAGGAUUCCCUUAGUAACGGCGAGUGAAGCGGGAAGAGCUCAAAUUUGAAAUCUUCAAGGUUUUACCUUGACGAAUUGUAGUUUAAAGAAGUGUUUUCUGUUGAAGUUUUGGUAAAAGUUCUUUGGAAUAGGACAUCAUAGAGGGUGAGAAUCCCGUAUUUGACCAUUAUUUUCAGCUGUGUGAUACACUUUCAAAGAGUCGGGUUGUUUGGGAAUGCAGCCCAAAACGGGAGGUAAAUUUCUUCUAAGGCUAAAUAUUGGCGAGAGACCGAUAGCGAACAAGUACCGUGAGGGAAAGAUGAAAAGAACUUCGAAAAGAGAGUUAAAUAGUACGUGGAAUUGUCAAAAGGGAAGCGUUUAACACCAGUGUUGUUUUCUGAAAAUCAACCUCUGUUAGCUUUAUGCAUGUUUGUUUAGACCUAAUCAGCUAUCUUGCAUGUUCUAUUGUUUGCAGUGGUGCACUUUUCAGUUUACAGGUCAACAUCAGUUUUUUUCUACCGUAAAAAAGUUAAAGAAAGGUAGCUCAUGGCUCCGGUCGUGAGUGUUAUAGUCUUUUUUCCUAUGCGGUAGGAGAGACUGAGGUCUGCAGUGUAGGCUAUUUGGCUAGAUACUCAGGUGCUAUGUGAUACCAUUUCAUAAACAACUUGUUGAUUAUGUUUUGUCUAUUGCAUACUCGCUUGUACUAUCAUACCUACGCUUAGGAUGUUGAACUACUGAGACAUAGA